GGUAACUCUUGUUGAGGGACGUCUGGAUGAUAAGAAAACUAACGUGAUAUUUUGCACUUAACGUUAUGUUUUCAUAAAAAUUAUCUUAAAAUUUGACUUUGCUACAGAUUUUUCACAAUGUUGCGAUCAAUAUUACUGAAAGCCAGUGUACAGUAUGCUACUCUGACGAAUCCCGCACGACAAGUUGUUGCUUAUCCUAAAAAGUUAUUGCAUCAAUCUUACAAUUUGAAGAGAGCUCUUAAUACAGACAGCUUUGACAAAAACACAUCCGAGGCGGAAGGUGAGGAUGAUUCUCAAGAAGAAUUCAGAAAUGAAUUAAAGUACAAUAUGAACCUGGGAAUGUAUCCUGAUAAGCAUGUAUCUUCAUUGACUAUAAAUGGUAAACGCUAUUUAGAUCUACCAAUAGUACAUAUAAAAUCUACCAGUAAUAAUACCAUCAUAUCAGUCACAGAAGUUAAAGGUAAA